UAACGACUCUCGGCAACGGAUAUCUCGGCUCUCGCAUCGAUGAAGAACGUAGCGAAAUGCGAUACUUGGUGUGAAUUGCAGAAUCCCGUGAACCAUCGAGUCUUUGAACGCAAGUUGCGCCCCAAGCCUUUUGGYCAAGGGCACGUCUGCCUGGGUGUCAC
rnacentral:rRNA from 2 species